GAGAGUCAUUUUACAUCUCCAUCUAUAGAUGGCUCACGAAUACAGGUAGACAAAUAUGCUCACAAUGAGGUACAAUAAGAAAAAGGCGGUAAUAGUUGCGUUAUGUGAAGAGAGGCUUUUGAAGUGUCUCUACAUGGUGUGAAAAUGCCCCCUGCAUAUACAUAAUAUGAAGUGGUAUCACAUCACAAGCAGUAAAGACGGAGAGUUGACACCCCUCUGAUAUUGCCAAGUCACAGCAGACUGACAUAAAUGUCAUAACAGGCUGGCUAAAACCCAGGCCCACAAUCCAAAUCACAACUAACACACUCAUUCCUCAUUCAUGUUUCCUGUCAUGCUCAAGGCCUAAAAACUUCAUUCAGGAUUACUGCACUAAAGAGCAGUCGCUGCUGAGUUCUAAGAAGGUUAAGAGCCUGGCCUACCUUGACUAAUAUUAAACACUAAAUCAGAACAAAUCAAAUUAAUUUAUAAAGCGCGUAUUGUACAACAAAUAGCAUUGUCACAAAACAAAGGAAACAAAUACAGAUUAAAUCAGGAGACUGUAAAAAAGACAUAGGAUUACAUAGACUGUUUUAAUUCAAUUAAUUGAACCUUCAGUCUAUAAAACAAUGACAAACGGCCAUCCCAUGAUGAGCACUGAUGACUUAAAAGUGCCUCUCUUUUUCUGAUAAAAAAAUAGUCUUACAACCCAGUUCAUUUAUAUGAAACAAGAGAAAAGCAGCCACAUUUAAGAGGCUAUAAAACAGCAGAGGUUUGUCAUUUUUAUUUAAUGAAUAACUUAGUGCCCUCUUGUUUUCUUGUAAAUGUUGUUGUUGUGAUGUUUACAUUCACCAAAACAUAUUGUGUGUAUCCUUGGGAUAUUUUAAAAUUGUGCAUUGUUUAUAUUCAUGUUUUCAAGAUUGCAGUCUUCUUCCUCCUUGCCUUUGUUGGCGCAUUUCAAAAGUGGCGUGUUUCUGCCGCCAUCUGUUGGUCAGUGGACUAGCGUGACACAGACAGCAGAUAUUACGUGCCCUUGUGCGUGUGUGUGCACGAUAAAAACAAAACAGAGACCCACUCAUAAAAACAUGCUCCAUAGCACUGCUAGUGGUAAAAAAAAACUCCACGGGGCAUCUUUAAACAGCUUAACAAUGAUAACAUUUGCGUUGGUUUAGUUUCUGUUGAACAUCUCAUGGUGUCAGAACUGGUGCCCAUGCAUUAAAUAAAAUGACUGGACAGAAUUAUAAUAUAGAUUUUGCAAACCAGUCAUUCUCUGAACUUCAUCCUCCUGUCUGCUACCUCUGCUAACCUUUUUCUAAACUCUCCCUCUCCCCUCUCCCCCCUCCUCCCCCGGGCCUCCCUUGCUCUCUGUCUGUGCUCUCUCAGCCCUUCUUAAUUCCAUUAUGAUUGAGACGAUGUCAUCCACCUCUGAACUCCAUUAUCACCACAGGAACAGGCUGACAGUUCUCAUUACCAUGUUAUAAUCCCCUAUUUAACAAAGGAGCAAGGAGCGAGGGAGUGGAGAGGGAGUGAAUGGAGAGACAACAGAUGACACAAAGGACAUGUAACGCUGCCCCUCUGCAACCAACACAAACACACUCCUCCAGGUAAACUGCUCGGUGCAUCUCUAAACUGUGUAGUGUGUUGCUGUGCUGGCUUGAAAUGCUCACAGUUUAUACUAAUGUAAUCAUGCAAUAUUACUGCUCUGAAUCUAAAGCUACAUGAAUCUUCCAAUCAGUAGGUUACAGUAUGUUGUUUACACUUCUUUACAACCAUUAAUUUGCUCUCUAAUAUGGCGUGUCCAACACUUGAAAGAAAUAAUAGCCCUGCUUGUGCUGCCAUCCAGCAGUUGCUAUAUGCUCUGCUGACCCUAUGCAAUAUAGCACUGCAUUGUUGUGCAAUGCAAAUUCACAGUACAAGAGACCACAAUGACCUGUGCUGAUGGGUGUGGUGAGAAAUGCAACAGAUUUGAACCUUUCCACCCACAGAGGUCAGUGCAGAAUGCUUUUCAUCCAAACAAGAUUUAGUGUUAAAUGGCUCUUUAAAGUCCACAGUAGCUAUGUUACAAGUUAAAGUCUUGUUUAGCACAUGGUCACCUUGUGUUGAAAAAGGUUUUUUGGUGCAGACUGAAAUGUGAUUGAACACCAAGUAUCAAAAACUGUCAAGUACCGAAUUGGAUGUUUGGUCAGAUUUGUAAUCUUGUUUAUUUAUUCUGUGAUCUGAUAGUUCCAGAUUUAAAUUGAAAUUUGUGCCAAUUUAAAAAUCUUAAUAAAGUUUUUGUAUGGCUUCUUGCAUUUCAACAUUAUUUAACAUGUGACAACUUUUGCCUCUGUUAAAUGAAAGAAAGGAUUUUGUAGGAAAACAUGUUUGUAUAUCUCAGAAGUUAUAUAAAAAAAAAAAUAUUGUUUUGGUAUCGAAUCCACACUCGUACUGAAAACGUUUAAAAUGAUACCCGCCCUGUUCAUAAGCAAUAAAAACAAAUAAUGUGAGUCUUAAAGGUUAACCAAACAAUUGACAGGGCCAAAAACUGUAACAUGCAAUGUUAUGUCCUCAGCCUUCAACUUGCAUACAGACCAAGAGCAACUACAGGCAUAUCACAUAGACAUCAUGAUCUGUGCAUCAUCUCACUAAUAAUACUGAGCAGAAUGCCAAGAGCACACUGUUGAAUCAAUAAUUUCAACCCCAAUCUACACUUGGACCAUCCCAAUUUACCGGUCACAGGGAUAGACAUUCCUGUCAGGCAUAGAGGGAGGUCACUGCAGCUAACCUUCAUAAAAACAAUGGAAUGAGCAUUAUCCUCUUUUUUAAUCUCUCCUCUUUACUGUAUGCCUGAAUUAACCUUCCCUCUUACCCUGUCAUAAUGUAUUCUUCCAGGACGUGACUGACUGCCACAUGCCUGUCUAUCAGCUCAGUUUUUUUUAUCAUCUAUAUCUAUAACUUGUAAUUGACUUGGUUGAGCAGUUAGAGAGAUGAUCCAGCUGAUAACCCAAAUUUUCUAAUACUGGCAGCAACUUAAUGCAAUGGUCCGACUUUCCACAGGGAAAAAAUUUAAAUAGGAUAUCAAAAUUAACUCAAAUAAAAAAACUAAGACAAACUUCACCAUAUUAUCAUCAUCAUGUUUUUUAGAUUUUAUUGUAAUAUUUCGGCACACAAACUACAGUUCAGUAGUUGUUGGAAAAUUCUUACAUGCCGUCAGCUGCGUCAGGGUCUCUAUUCAGGUCGGUGUCGAGUAUAUUCCCCUGUUGCACCCAACAGUGUAAGGUCACCUACUGCAGGCUAUAAUAUUUUCUUGUCUAAUAUCUCCAUUACUGUCACAUGACUGCCUUUCAUAUCAGCUAUGGACCACUUUACUUUAGAAAGACAUUUUUUAGCAUUUAACUUCAAACCUCAAACCAUUCACUCUGUAUUUCUGUCACACUACAGCACUGACGACAUGUCGUUGACAGCUGUACUAUAAAUAUUGUCUAACAGUUUCCGGUCCUCCAACACUACUUCUGACACUGCUAAACUUAUCUUUUCAUCUGCUGAUUUCCAAAAGCAGGAUUUGAAGCUCCAGUGUGAAAUUCUUCCUUUUAUUCUUUACAUUUUUGUGAACAAACGAACAUAACAGGAAGCCUUAUAUGGCAAAUUUAGGGGCGCCGAUUACACACAUGAACAAAUCUCAUGUAUGUGCACCUCCUCAUGAACAGGCGGCAUUCAUCAGGCUGAAACGAGCAAAUUAAGUUUGUGCAAUUAAGAGUUAGGUGAAUCUGACUUGGAACACUAGCACAAGUAAACGUCACAGAAGAGACUUUUAGGCUAAAAAUACGAAAAUGUUAUGUCAUGAGUCCCAGUGUGUUCUGAUAAGGUUUUUCUUUACAGAGAAAUCAAUCCAAGUAAGCUGUAGUGCAAAAGAUUAUUGACAGUUCUCUUCUUCACACAGAUAUCAACAUGAACUUUUUCUUCACCUGACUGCACUAACGCAACACUCGCUGGGCUGUUGUUGGUCUUUGCGUCAAAAUAGACGUUCUGUACAUGGCAGCCAUUCAGGAAUAUGUUAUCUAGUUUUAGUUUGGAGAGGGAGUGAGUCAUGUCAUCAUCUGAGCCCUCACCGCGGAUUGCUGAUUGGUUUGACACAUACCUGUCUGGAUCAGUUGAUUAUUAAUGUUUUUGAGUCUUGAUUGCAAAAAUGGAAUUUGUGAUAUGUAGUCUGGCUUUCUGAGGCUAUCUAUUUAUGCAUUUUUAAUCUGUUCUACUACUUUAUAAUUAUAUUAUUUUGAGUUUUUAUCUAUCUCUAGAUGGAAACUUUUAUUAUUUUGAGUUUUUAUCAAUUUCUAAUCCUGUCUCUGGUUUCCUCAUUGAAAACAGCGUUUCCUCAGUUGCUGUUGCAUCGAGUGCUGUUAUUAUUGAGUCAUUUAGUCAUUUAUUGC